CGGACCGGCGGCGGACGAGGACUGCUGACACCGACGUCAAGAUGACUCUCAGCCGGCACGCCGUUCUGCUGCUCACCCUGCUGGUUGUCGGCAUGCAAGCAGACGACAGAUUCACCUGCUGCAUGGGCGGCUGGAAGCAGUUGCGCGGCCUCUCGCUCUGCGAGCCGCCGCUGUUGCCAUGGCUACGUGGAGCGACUGGUUCACCCACCGCUUCUCAAGACCGCCUCCUACUGCCAGAAGCUGCUGGAGGAGCCGGAACCGCAGCAAAUCAAGAUGAUACCGCCGAUAAUGCGAGCCAGAAACUAUGGGGAGCCGCUGAAGGAGAAGAAGUACUACAGCGACCGGCUUCUGCGCUGGCUCAGCUGAAUGACGACUCGAGCACGCAAAAACCACGUACGCAUAGCGCUGCAAUCAACACUUGUGGUGGAGGACGACAGAACCCUUGGGCAGCAAUAUCACCACAAAACGCGUGCAAUGGAAGCAUGCCACUGAUUACGUGGUUGUGUCGUGGUGUUCCUCUGAGGACCGUUCUCUUUUGGUGUUUGUCGAAACGAUUGAAAACGCGGGUAUUUUCUGAGAACUCCGAGCUUGGGGGCAUGUCAAGAGAGCAUGACCUCCUCAUGCAUCAAAGCCCGCAACACAGGCGUCAGCGUUAACACGAUGCUUGACCGUCAGGCCGUCGGCAGUGGUUCAUGGACGACGUCUUGGUGUUUCAUUCGCUGUUUCCGCUAACGACCGAAUAAAGUCGCCUCCGAUUCCA